GUAAAUUUUACCCAGUGAUUUCAAUCUCAGAGCAAUAGCGCCAUGGGUCAAAUGUUUCUCUCUAUUUAUUACAACAUGUAAGGUCAUAAAUGAAGACGGGAGCGGUGGGAACGAGUGUUUUAAGUCCUCUCAGUCAGACCUAUUCCAGGAGAAUUUAUCUGAAACGCAGAGCAACCCAGAGUAAACUUGUCUUAUGAUCAUGAAUUUUGGCAAAAUAUCAAGAAAUUUGGAAAGUGAUCAAAUUCCUUUCACCUUCAAGAAAGAGAAGUAUGAGGUCGACUACCUUCAUAAAGCUAGAAGAAGUUGCAAAAAAUAGCUGAAGACGUCCACAAUUUCUUGGAUUCUCCACUCAAACAACGAAAAGGAAAGCGUCCUCCGUGGUGGUGUUUCUCUGAAGAACUGGCUGGAGGAACGCCGUUUGAACUGAGACCGUUGGCGCUGCAGAUCUCUGUGGCAGAUAGAAAGAGAGAACAUGGAAGCAAGUGAGGUGUCCAAGGACUUCAUCACAAACACCGAAUUCCAAUCUUUAUUACCAGACGAAAUUUUUCCUGAGUCAUCCAAGGAAGACAAACGUUUGCUGUUGGCUGGUCACGGCUUCCGUCUUGACUGCUUCAUCUGCGAAUCCGAUGAGUCGUAACAAUCCGGGUGGAUUGAGUUCAACUUUCCUUUUACCUACCUUUGGACCAGUAGAUACUCAAAAUUGAGCCACCAGACUCCAUAGGCACAUUUUCCCCCAUGGAAAGUAUGAGAGGGUGUGUGUGAGUCCAAGAUGAACUAUGGGAAGGAAAGGAAAAUGCAUGAGGACUGUUGACUUCGAUGGAAUCCCUAUUUGAAGAGUUCAUUUGUCCGUGAUAGUGUGGUGCUGAAGAGUAGCCAAAGAUACACUGUUUCAACUAACAGUUUCUCUACAUUAGGGUGGUGGUACCAGCACUAGCACUACACGCAUCUCCUCCCAGCUCUGCCUUAAUGCCACAGGCCCCCGCCCAGUACCCAAGAAGUCAAGUUUCCAUCCUAACUCUCCCCAAACAGGUGAGGGAAGAGGCAUGAAGGAAGUCCCACAGCCACACCAGGAGACAUAAUCAGAGCCAGAUGCCAAGCUUUCUGAAUCAAGUGGACUCACAUGCCAUAAAAAUGAGUGGUUUAUUAUAGGCCUCUAAUUAACAAAAUAUGGUUUUUACAUACAGCCAACAGAGUGUACCCCACUGUGUGCCCAUAAAACACGCUUGGCAAAUUGGAAAUAACAGAAUGGCCAUUUUCACCACAUUAAGAAGACUGAGCUCGAGUUUUGUAUUACGUCUACCUUGCAUCAACCCUACAAGGAGCAAAGUCAAAUAGUCAGUCAAUAUUUAGUACAUCAUUCACUUAAUAAAAUCUUUUGAGUGUUUACUGUAAGCAAAACUAACAUACGCAGAAUCGUUGGAAGUAAAAACUUGACUCCAUCUAUAGCCCAAAUUUCAGGCAUGCCUUUAAAUUACAACUAUUUUGUUUAAAAUUUUGUCAAAUGGCCAUUUUGUAAAUUAACUUACUAAAAUGACCGUUCAGGGACAGAGGACAGACAGGAUCAUCUGGGGCCAUAUUAUUCCUCCAUUGUCCCUUUAGAGAGCCUGUUCAACUGUCACAAAACAAGGCAGUAUAAAUGUGGCUCCAGUGCUCAUCAACUCUUUCUUAAUACUGCUCUCAUUAUAUUAAUACUCAAGGACAGCGAUGAUGGUCGUGACAAGCGUCAUAAAUGAUGAAGUACUGCAUCUUCGCGAGGUAAUUGAUUGAGGCACAUUCAGGCUAUUGAGCUUUCCACAAUUGGCAGGUGUGUCUUUUAUAAAAUCCCAGAUCAAGGGCCAGCCUGGGUAGCCCAGUGGUUAAGUUCAGCACGCUCUGCUUUUUUUGGUGGCUCGGGUUCAGUUCCUGGGCGCAGACCUACACCACUCUGUUAGUGGCCAUGCUGUGCUGGCAGCCCACAUACUAAAAAGUAGAGGAAGAUUGGCACUGAUGUUCACUCAGGGUGAAUCUUCCAUAAGAAAAUUAAAAAAUAAAAAUAAUUUUAAAAACCCCAAGUCUAAAGAAAGAGAGAAAGGUCUUCACUGGCCUCCGUGGUCCACAGCUCCUCUAUAUACAGUGUGAGAAGGACAGCUCUGGGACCAGGCGAGGCUCUCUAUGGCUCUGUUCCUUAGGAGUGGGGGCAGCAGCUGCAUCACUUACACGCAUGGUGGCAUUCCACUGCCAGCAUCUGCCAGCCACUGCUGAACUGCGCUAACUGAGAAGUAAAACUCCUUGCCAGUGAGUGCACUGAUUGGCGUGCCGAGAGCCGACUCCCAGCAGUAGAGAGGCCUGCAGCCAGAGGACAAUCGAUGACGAUGAACAGGUCAAAUAAAAGCAUGUUCCUGGGGUCCAACUUGGUUUUGAAAGCUGAAGUGUCCUGAUCGUAUCCAGUUAACCACAUGUAGGGCUGCUGUAUUUUCUCUGCUCUGAAAACGCAGGUGUUACCACACCAGGAAGUUGGCUGCGUUAGGAGGUUCUCGAAAGCGCUGCUUCUGGUACUAAGGUCCCACUUAUUGGUAGCCCCACGCCCCUCGCAUCCCUUCUCACAGUCUCUCAAGCCCCAUGUGGAGUAUGGAAUUGAAUAAACAAGGUUCCAUCCAGAGAAGACCAAGUCCUCCUUAUGCGUAUUCAUUCCUGGAGAGUGCUAAGCAUCUCUUCUGAGACGGACUGAGAAUGCCCUGUAAGAAACCAUGUCUGAAAGCAGAGCACAGUCUCUGGGAGGAGCUUCCUGGUGCUGGAAACAACAAGGGUAUGAUUUCUAUUAAUCUGCGAAAAUGCACUCGUUCAAAUGAGAGAAGUGGAUGGAUAAAAAACUCAUCAGGGUAUGUUGAUGCCACACUCCUACUCCUUUAGGUAUUGUCUUGUAGAUUUCAACCAACAAUCAAGUAUCAACACUAAGCAUCAAUCAAUAAUCUAGUAAUCAUCAAGUAUCAAUUGAUCAACAUUUAUUAUCUAUUCUUUGCUAGAAAGGGAUGUAAGAUAAAAACAAGACAUUUUCCCUACCCUUUUUAUAUUUAAGGCAUACGUAAUUCGCUUAAUAAAAACUUUUAAGUAUAUACUCUAGGCAAAACUAACAUACAUAGAAUCAUUGGAAAUAAAAGCUGGACUCUAUCUGUAGCCCAAAUUUCAGACAUGCUUUUAAAUCUCCAAACAAAUUUAAACUUUUUUUUCCAUAUAGAGAACAUUCAAAUAUUUAAAGAUAAUAUACAUAUUGUCUUCUUUGUUCCAGGCUAAAAUUUUUUUAACUGUUUCUCAUAUGAUAAGAUUUUUUAAAUCAUGCCCCAUCUUAAUUAUCUCUAAAUACUCUCCCAUUUUAAGCAUCAUUCUUAAUAUGAUCUGGCUCUAUGCCUUCACUCUAUGAAACUCUACCUUCUUAUCUGUGAAAUGGCAGAGUUAGGCUAGAUUAAUAAGAUUGUAUCCUCCUAUCAUUAAAAAAACUGAUUUGAACAAACUUCCGCUCCCAUAGGUCUACGCAUCUAUGCAAUAUCCUCCGAGAGCACUGUCUUCACAUCAGACAUGUUGAAAAGAGAUUAGGAUUGCGUGGCAACCACCGUAAAGGAUGUGGUUUCUAGAGAAUUUGUCAGGAACAGAGGUCGUAUGUUGUCUAGUGUGACAGAUGGACGGAUUCAUUUACAAGGUCACCAGAUGCGUGACCUACAAAGGCUCUUAGCUCUUCGGGUCCAACUCACUCUUUUUACUGAGUGGAAAAGAGAUCCAGGUGCCAAGUCACUUGUUCACGAGCAACACUGUGUGUAGCAUACUUAUUUUCCAAAAACGUUAGCAGCACGAUUUCUGAUCCCACCUGGUCUUAGAGACCCUUGCCACACCUCCAUCAAGAAGUAGGGUCUGUCUCCCCUCUCCUGGUGACAGCUUCCAGGAAGAGAAUGCAGCAGAAGUGAUGCUGUGUGAGUUCCGAGGCUAGAUCAUAAUAGGCCACGUGGCACAUGGCUCCCUCUCUCUGUCUCAUUCAUCUCUCUGCACAUCUUUGGAGCCCUGAACCACCACAUAAGAAUUCUGGUUUUCCAGAAGCCAACAAACUAGAGAGACCACGUAGAGAGACCAAAGAGAGGCAUCGGAGAGCCCCGCUGGCCAGCCUCCAGCUGUUUGCAUCUUCCCAGCUCAGGAGUCAAAGACAGUCUACAUUCUUAACACCAUGUGGUAUUGGAUGCCCUGCUGGGGAAUGGAUGCCUAACCGAAGAGGCAAUAGAAAAAACGUUGUUUUUAAAGAGAGGACUAAUAUAAUACAGUGGAACUCCAGGAUCAGGAGUUAAGAAAAGAAAUAAAGGACGUGAGGACAUUGAAUUAGAAUAUAGAAAUGCAGGAUAUACAAUCACAGACUUGGAGAGAGAUCUUAACUAAGUCUGCCUUCUGACAUUUGGUGUGACUCCUGACACAUGCACAAAUGUCUACAGGAUGCUGGUUCUACUCUUCUCUUGGAGUGAGACAAGGUUUAUGACAAGGGACCACAUGACUUCUCAUCAAAGAGACAUGAGGAGGAGAUGAGAGUUCAGUAUGAAGACUCUACAAACGGACUCAAAAACCUUUGGAUACCUUCUUGAAACAGCCCCAAACUCAUAUUCUUUUUCUGAAAAGUCACUUGGUCCCAUUUUUGAACCUGUAGAGUGAUAAUAAAUUACCCUCGUCACCACCCUCCUCACUAGGAUAUUGAAAGAAUUAAUGAGAUAGUGUCUGUUAAAUGCUUUGAGCUUAUUGGAAGGUGUCAAGAAAGAAAAAUAAGAAAUACUAUUAUCUUUGAAGCCCUUCUAAUCCAAUGAGCUUCAGCGAAGCCUAAAAAUACCUCCAGUCUCUCUUCAAAUCUUUUUCUCCCUAACUUUUAAAGGUUGGCAUGACUGAUUCAUCUACCAUUACUAAAAGCAGUCAACAAAAUGGAAAAGAAAAGCUUCAUGCAAAUUGCUCUGUGUUUCUGCACAGGAGGUUAUGCAGAGCAAAGAAUACAACCUACUUCCUGUCCCCCCUAUAGCUCAGGGCCCUAUCUGGUUAUGUGGCUGUAACUUAUCCUCAC
rnacentral:lncRNA from 1 species